GACGAACGCUGGCGGCGUGCCUCUUACAUGCAAGUAGAACGCAGUGGCGAACGGGUGAGUACCGCGUAGGUAACUUCCUCAUAGCGUGGGAGAACUAUUGGAAACGAUAGCUAAUACCGCAUACUGUGAGUUGGACCUGCGGUGUAUUAGCUAGUUGGUGGGGUAAAGGCUACCCAAGGCGACGAUACAUAGCCGACCUGAGAGGUGGAGUGGCUGCACUGUGACUGAGACACGGCCCAGACUCUGUCGGGAGGCAGCAGUAGGGAAUCUUCGGUAAUGGACGUAAGUCUGACCGAGUAACGCCGCGUGAGUGAGGAAGGUUUUCGAUUCGUAAUGCUCUGUUGUUACAGACGCGGUAACUAACCAGAAGGGGACGGGUGAGUAGGUGCCGGCAGCCGCGGUAAUAC
rnacentral:rRNA from 1 species